AUCACUUCUCAGCCUCUUGUGAGCUCAGAUCAAGUGUAGUGCCUGUUCUUAUUGGUUACUCAACAUAUAAACUGGGUAUGAGCCCAAGCAUGUUAAUGUGUGCUAGCUAAUUAUGGGACAAACAGCAUAUUAAUGAUGUGCAUGUCUUCCAAAAUUGUGCAUUUUUUACUUUUGGAAGAUAAGCCAG